rnacentral:rRNA from 1 species
UGCCAGCCGCCGCGGUAAUACGGAGGGCGCAAGCGUUGUUCGGAUUCACUGGGCAUAAAGAGCAUGUAGGCGGUCUACUCAGUCGGAUGUGAAAGCCCUCGGCCCAACCGGGGAACUGCAUCCGAUACUGGUGGACUAGAGGACGACAGGGGUGAGUGGAACUCCAGGUGGAACGGUGAAAUGUGUAGAUAUCUGGAGGAACACCGGUGGCGAAAGCGGCUCACUGGGUCGUCUCUGACGCUGAGAUGCGAAAGCCAGGGGAGCGAACGGGAUUAGAUA